UCUCUUUGGUGCUUGCCCCCAGGACUCCAGAGAAGGGUGCCCGGUGCUUUUCCCACCCAACGGUGCUCCGUGCCUCCCAUCAAGAAGGAAGCAGAACUGACUGCCGCCCACUACCAGAUUCAGGAGCCUCUCCUGCCUUCCUGGGAAGGUGGUUUUGAUGAGGUACUGAUGAGCUUGGGCCUGGUUUUUACAAAAUGAGCAUAGCCAUCAGUUGUUCCAUUGCACACAGCCAACUCUUCGGAGGGGCCGCCUUCACAGACCACCUCCGGACACAGAAGCCCGGGUUUUAGGCUUUUCUCCUAUGCAUGCAGUAUACUCCGUGGGCAUACAAGGGAAAAGCAGUGCCGGUGAGAAUCUGCCAGCGCUGUUUGGACAGCACGGGUUCUCGACAGGUGUUGUUUUAUGUGCGUGUGGUGGAUAUAAGAACCGCCAACCAAUCUCGGUAACAAAUCUAGCCGUUUAAACAUCCACAGACAUUUUAACGGUCCUAACCUAUGGUCACCCAUGGUGUCUGGCCUUGACAAGAUGGGCUGGGUGGGUUGAAUGAAGAAGGCCCACUGAGUUAACUAGAUCGUGCCCGGGUUGGGAUCUGAUGUCUCUUUCUGUUAGCUCCCCGUCUUCCUUUGACGACUCCCCAGUGGACGAGGUCUUUGGGGAGGUGGAGGCUGAAGGAGCAUGUGUUUAUGGUCCAGCAGGAGGUGGUGUGUCACUUAACACUCCUUCCCAGGACUCUGAGUCUCGAGCGGGGCAAGGGCUGGGUGCAGUCAGCCCGGUGGCCUGCUGUGGGUGAUGGGCUGGGGCUCAGAGAAAACAGCUUGGAUGCAACAGUCUGCAAGAGCAGCCUCCCCAGGCUCCUUGUCUCUGGCUCAUUUCUGACCCUUUACCUAAGACUUCCAACAAUCCUUAUGUUCCUGGUAGCAUCUUAGUAAAUCACCCUUUCGCUUACAUAUAGGAAUUCAUUUCCAUUGCUUGCAACCAAGAAAACCAUGGCCUGAAACAGCUUAGUAGGAAGCCUGCAGACCUGAGAUCAGUGGGGCCUUACCACUUUGUCGUUUGUGGCCCUCUGCAAACGUGCCGUCCGACGCACCGCAAGGAAGAGUCUCUGCUUCAGAAGGUCUGAGGAGCGGCGUCCUGAGACUGGCUGUGGUGAGCUGGUGGGUGCAGCUGUCUCCUGCACACUGACCUUCUUCCCUGGGUGGCUGUCCCCAGACCUCUGAAAAUUGGGAGGAACCAGGGUUUCCUUUUAGUUUACCCUCACCGGCACUGUCCAAUCUGGAGCCCUGGAGGGUGGAACAUUGUAGGAAUGACUCCUGGGCUCUGUAGAGCACCUACUGUAUGCCAGCAGCUGUGCAUUAUGCUGUGACUUCCUGGGCUCUGGGAACUGCUGUUAUCCCGUAUCAUCAAGUCACAUCGCAUCGGAGUGGUGCAGUCAGAAUCCACAUAGCGGCCAGGCACAGUGGCUCAUGCCUGUAAUCCCAGCACUUUGGGAGGCUGAGGUGGGUGGAUUAUUUGAGGUCAGGAGUUUGAGACCAGCCUGGCCAACAUGGUGAAACCCUCAUGUCUGCU